rnacentral:rRNA from 1 species
UACAGAGGGGGCAAGCGUUGUUCGGAAUUACUGGGCGUAAAGGGCGCGUAGGCGGCCUGCUAAGUCGAACGUGAAAUCCCUGGGCUCAACUGCGGGCUGGCAGUCGAUACGGGCAGGCUGGAGUUCGGUAGGGGAGAGUGGAAUUCCUGGUGUAGCGGUGAAAUGCGCAGAUAUCAGGAAGAACACCCGUGGCGAAGGCGGCUCUCUGGGACGGUACUGACGCUGAGACGCGAAAGCGUGGGGAGCGAACAGG